GCAGCAGUAGGGAAUUUUCGGCAAUGGACGGAAGUCUGACCGAGCAACGCCGCGUGAAUGAUGAAGUAUUUCGGUAUGUAAAGUUCUUUUAUUUGGGAAGAAAAAACAAAUUGACGGUACCAAAUGAAUAAGCCCCGGCUAACUACGUGCCAGCAGCCGCGGUAAUACGUAGGGGGCAAGCGUUAUCCGGAAUUAUUGGGCGUAAAGGGUGCGUAGGCGGGUUAUCAAGUCUUUGGUUAAAAUGCGGUGCUCAACGCCGUAGUGCCAAAGAAACUGAUAGUCUAGAGUAUGGUAGAAGUGAGUGGAACUCCAUGUGUAGCGGUAAAAUGCGUAAAUAUAUGGAAGAACACCAGUGGCGAAGGCGGCUCACUAGGCCAAUACUGACGCUGAGACACGAAAGCGUGGGGAGCAAACAGGAUUAGAUACCCUGGUAGUCCACGCCCUAAACGAUGAGUACUAAGUGUAGCCAGAAGGCUGUGCUGAAGUUAACGCAUUAAGUACUCCGCCUGAGUAGUACGUACGCAAGUAUGAAACUUAAAGGAAUUGACGGGAUCCCGCACAAGCGGUGGAGCAUGUUGUUUAAUUCGACGAUACGCGAAGAACCUUACCAGGUCUUGACAUACUCGGCAAAUCUAUAGAGAUAUAGAGGAGGUUAACCGGGAUACAGGUGGUGCAUGGUUGUCGUCAGCUCGUGUCGUGAGAUGUUAGGUUAAGUCCUGCAACGAGCGCAACCCUUAUUGCUAGUUACCAUCAUUAAGUUGGGGACUCUAGCGAGACUGCCGGUGAUAAACCGGAGGAAGGCGGGGAUGACGUCAAAUCAUCAUGCCCUUUAUGACCUGGGCUACAAACGUGCUACAAUGGCUGACACAAAGAGAAGCGAGCUCGCGAGAGUAAGCAAACCUCAGAAAAGCAGUCUCAGUUCGGAUUGAAGUCUGCAACUCGACUUCAUGAAGUUGGAAUCGCUAGUAAUCGCGAAGCAGAGUGUCGCGGUGAAUACGUUCCCGGGAUUUGUACACACCGCCCGUCAAACCAUGAGAGUUUGUAAUACCCGAAGCCGGUGGCCGAACCGCAAGGAAGGAGCCGUCUAAGGUAGGACAGAUGAUUGGGGUUAAGUCGUAACAAGGUAUCCC
rnacentral:rRNA from 1 species